rnacentral:rRNA from 1 species
AUUGAACGCUGGCGGCAGGCCUAACACAUGCAAGUCGAGCGGAUGAAGGGAGCUUGCUCCUGGAUUCAGCGGCGGACGGGUGAGUAAUGCCUAGGAAUCUGCCUGGUAGGGGGGGAUAACGUCCGGAAACGGGCGCUAAUACCGCAUACGUCCUGAGGGAGAAAGUGGGGGAUCUUCGGACCGCACGCUAUCAGAUGAGCCUAGGUCGGAUUAGCUAGUUGGUGGGGUAAAGGCCUACCAAGGCGACGAUCCGUAACUGGUCUGAGAGGAUGAUCAGUCACACUGGAACUGAGACACGGUCCAGACUCCUACGGGAGGCAGCAGUGGGGAAUAUUGGACAAUGGGCGAAAGCCUGAUCCAGCCAUGCCGCGUGUGUGAAGAAGGUCUUCGGAUUGUAAAGCACUUUAAGUUGGGAGGAAGGGCAGUAAGUUAAUACCUUGCUGUUUUGACGUUACCAACAGAAUAAGCACCGGCUAACUUCGUG